AUUGAACGCUGGCGGCAUGCCUUACACAUGCAAGUCGAACGGCAGCACGGGUGCUUGUACCUGGUAGCGAGUGGCGAUCGGGUGCGUAAUACAUAGGAACCUGUACCGUAGUGUGGGUUAGCCCGGCGAAAGCCGGACUUACACCGCUUCCGCUCUCCGCCUGAAAGUGGGAGACCUUCGUCCUUCGCGCUUUCGCGUUUGCCGAUGGCUGAUUAGCUAGUUGGUGGGGUAAAGGCCUACCAAGGCGACGAUCAGUAGCUGGUCUGAGAGGACGACCAGCCACACUGGGACUGAGACACGGUCCAGACUCCUACGGGAGGCAGCAGUGGGGAAUUUUGGACAAUGGGCGAAAGCCUGAUCCAGCCAUGCCGCGUGUGUGAAGAAGGCCUUCGGGUUGUAAAGCACUUUUGUCCGGAAAGAAAAGCUUGACCCUAAUACGGCCGGGGGAUGACGGUACCGGAAGAAUAAGCACCGGCUAACUACGUG
rnacentral:rRNA from 1 species